UCAGAAGAGCACGCGAACCCAGCCUCCACAAAGAGAAAAUGGCGGAAUGGGCCUUCGCCUCCCUUUUAUAACGGCUGUACUCAACCGCUGUAUCUUGGAAGCUUUGUUUUGAUUGGGUGAGAAGGAACUUUUUUCGACAACUCUUAUUGGAUAAUAGUCUCCUGCUCUGACUGGAUAAUCUUAACUAAUCAGAGUUGGAGACUUAUCCAAUCUGUGUUGUAGUACAGAGUCUGCUCUCAUCCUAUCAGAAAGAGGCUUCCAGGGUAUGUCAUUUGAAUACAGACAUUAUAAAAGGGAGGCAAAGAUCUGCACCUGCCGUGGAGGUUGGGCUCAUGUGCUCCUCUGCAUUGGAGUUAGCCAAGGAGCGUGUGCAGAACACUUGCCUCAUAGGCCAGCCGUAGAGAAGGAUGUCCCAGGUGCAGGCGAAGUUUUGUUCAUGUGUUCCUGGAGGAUUUUUCCCGUGGCAAGCGCUUCUCCAUCCUCCAGCAUCUCAGGCCUGGCUGGCCACUCAGUAUUCCUUGUCCCUGGCCUCGCAGCCCACCCGGGAAGCCACAGUGACCAGCCACCAGGUGUGCCAUCACGGAGGAAGUCCAGGUUGGAGAGGUGGUCUCCUUCUGUGAGCAGGUCCACCUCUCCCCCCACUGAGGCCCCUUUCUGCCUGUGACAGCCCCACCUCAAGGGCCAUGGCACAGCCAUCAGCUCCAGCUGCCAGCAUGCUACUGCCAUGCCCCGAGUGUCCAUCUGGGCCCCGGUUCAUGACCUGUUGUCUUUCUGUAUCUACUUUCUGCAGCCCCUCACUGAGGAGGCCUCCUGGGUUUGUCCAGUGCCUGCUAUUAAAGCUUUGCUCCAAGUUCAA